CUACGGGUCGCAGCAGGCGAGAAAACUUUGCAAUGUGCGAAAGCACGACAAGGUUAAUCUGAGUGGUUUCUGCUAAAGGAACCUUUUGACAGUCCUAGAAACACUGUUGAAUAAGGGGUGGGCAAGUUCUGGUGUCAGCCGCCGCGGUAAAACCAGCACCUCAAGUGGUCAGGAUGAUUAUUGGGCCUAAAGCAUCCGUAGCCGGCUCUGUAAGUUUUCGGUUAAAUCUGUACGCUCAACGUACAGGCUGCCGGGAAUACUGCAGAGCUAGGGAGUGGGAGAGGUAGACGGUACUCGGUAGGAAGGGGUAAAAUCCUUUGAUCUAUUGAUGACCACCUGUGGCGAAGGCGGUCUACCAGAACACGUCCGACGGUGAGGGAUGAAAGCUGGGGGAGCAAACCGGAUUAGAUACCCCCGUAGUC
rnacentral:rRNA from 1 species